rnacentral:rRNA from 1 species
UUGACUAAGGGUUCCUGGGUAAAGUUCGUCUUCCCAGGGUAAGUCAGGACCUAAGAUGAGGCCUAAAGGCGUAGUCGAUGGACAAUAGGUAUAUAAUCCUAUACCACCUAUAUAACUGAAGGAGUGAAGAAGGAGGCUAGCUAAAGCCAAUUAAUGGAUUUUGGUCUAAGCACAAAGGCUUGUACGGAGUAAAAUGCACGAUACAAAAGAGCUGAAGUGUGAUGGGGAAGUGAUACUUUCGGGUAGAGCGAAGUUAAGUGACGCCAAACUUCCAAGAAAAGCUUCUAGGGCUAAUUAUAUAGGUGCCUGUACCGAUAACCGACACAGGUGGUCAAGGAGAGAAUCCUAAGGUGAGCGAGAGAACUAUGGUUAAGGAACUCGGCAAAAUGACCCCGUAACUUCGGGAGAAGGGGUGGUCAAGAAGAUAAUGCAGUAAUGUAUGAAAAUAAAUUGACCCGCAGUGAAUAGGUCCAGGCAACUGUUUACCAAAAACACAGGUUUCUGCAAACACGAAAGUGGAAGUAUAGGAGCUGACGCCUGCCCAGUGCUGGAAGGUUAAAGGGAAGUGUCCGUAGCAAUACAAAGCACCGAACUGAAGCCCCAGUGAACGGCGGCCGUAACUAUAACGGUCCUAAGGUAGCGAAAUUCCUUGUCAGGUAAGUUCUGACCCGCACGAAAGGCGUAAUGAUCUGGAUACUGUCUCAACCAUAGACUCGGUGAAAUCUUAAUACCUGUGAAAAUGCAGGUUACCCGCGACAGGACGGAAAGACCCCGUGGAGCUUUACUGUAGCUUGAUAUUGGAAUUAGAUUGGUUAUGUAGAGGAUAGGUGGUAGACUAUGAAGUAUAGACGCAAGUCUGUAUGGAGUCGCCCUUGGAAUACCACCCUUGAUUAGUCCAAUUUCUAACCUAGUACCAUAAUCUGGUACAGGGACAGUGUCUGGUAGGCAGUUUGACUGGGGCGGUCGCCUCCUAAAGAGUAACGGAGGCGUUCAAAGAUUCCCUCAGAAUGGUUGGAAAUCAUUCGAAGAGCGUAAAGGUAUAAAGGGAGUUUGACUGUGAGACCAACAAGUCGAGCAGGUGCGAAAGCAGGACUUAGUGAUCAGGCGAUUCAGAAUGGAAUGGUCGUCGCUUAACGGAUAAAAGUUACCCCGGGGAUAACAGGCUGAUACCACCCAAUAGUUCACAUAGACGGUGGUGUUUGGCAC